AGGGUUUGAUUCUGGCUCAGAGCGAACGCUGGCGGCGUGUCUUAGGCAUGCAAGUCGAUCGGCAGCGCAGGUGUAGCAAUACACUGGGCGGCGAGAGGCGGACGGGUGAGUAACAUACAGGAAUCUACCUAUAGAACAGGGAUAGCCAUGGGAAACUGUGGGUAAUACCUGAUAACAUCGCAAGAUCAAAGGGUGCCUUUAAAGCACUGUCUAUGGAUGAGCCUGUAUCCCAUCAGGUAGUUGGUAGGGUAAUGGCCUACCAAGCCGAAGACGGGUAGCUGGUCUGAGAGGAUGGUCAGCCACAAGGGGACUGUGACACGGCCCCUACUCCUACGGGAGGCAGCAGCCAAGAAUUUUCCGCAAUGGGGGGAACCCUGACGGAGCGACGCCGCGUGGAGGAAGAAGGUCUUCGGAUUGUAAACCUCUUUUUUUGAGGAAGAAUAAGGCUAUCAGGAAAUGGGUAGCUGAUGACGGUACUCAAGGAAUAAGCCCCGGCUAAUUACGUGCCAGCAGCCGCGGUAAUACGUAAGGGGCCAGCGUUGCUCGGAUUUACUGGGCGUAAAGGGCGUGUAGGCGGCUAUACAAGUCGAAUGUAAAAUCCCGUAGCUCAACUACGGAUCUGCGUUUGAAACUGUAUAGCUUGAGUCUGGUAGAGGGUGAUGGAAUUCCCGGUGUAGCGGUGAAAUGCGUAGAUAUCGGGAGGAACAUCGAAGGCGAAGGCAGUCAUCUAUGCCAAGACUGACGCUGAGGCGCGAAAGCAUGGGGAGCAAACAGGAUUAGAUACCCUGGUAGUCCAUGCUGUAAACGAUGUGCACUAGGAGUUGGCGGUUUUGUUAGCUCCGUAGCAAACGCGUUAAGUGCACCGCCUGGGGAGUACGGCCGCAAGGUUGAAACUCAAAGAAAUUGACGGGGGCCCGCACAAGCAGUGGAGUAUGUGGUUUAAUUCGAUGAUACACGAAGAACCUUACCAGGGCUU
rnacentral:rRNA from 1 species